AUUGAACGCUGGCGGCAUGCCUUACACAUGCAAGUCGAACGGCAGCGCGGGAGCAAUCCUGGCGGCGAGUGGCGAACGGGUGAGUAAUACAUCGGAACGUGCCCAAUCGUGGGGGAUAACGCAGCGAAAGCUGUGCUAAUACCGCAUACGAUCUACGGAUGAAAGCAGGGGAUCGCAAGACCUUGCGCGAAUGGAGCGGCCGAUGGCAGAUUAGGUAGUUGGUGAGGUAAAGGCUCACCAAGCCUUCGAUUUGGAGCUGGGCUGAGAGGACGAUCAGCCACACUGGGACUGAGACACGGCCCAGACGCCUACGGGAGGCAGCAGUGGGGAAUUUUGGACAAUGGGCGCAAGCCUGAUCCAGCCAUGCCGCGUGCAGGAUGAAGGCCUUCGGGUUGUAAACUGCUUUUGUACGGAACGAAACGGCUCUUUCUAAUAAAGAGGGCUAAUGACGGUACCGUAAGAAUAAGCACCGGCUAACUACGUGCCAGCAGCCGCGGUAACAC
rnacentral:rRNA from 1 species